rnacentral:rRNA from 1 species
UGGGGAAUUUUGGACAAUGGGCGAAAGCCUGAUCCAGCAAUGCCGCGUGUGUGAAGAAGGCCUUCGGGUUGUAAAGCACUUUUGUCCGGAAAGAAAUCCUUGGCUCUAAUACAGUCGGGGGAUGACGGUACCGGAAGAAUAAGCACCGGCUAACUACGUGCCAGCAGCCGCGGUAAUACGUAGGGUGCAAGCGUUAAUCGGAAUUACUGGGCGUAAAGCGUGCGCAGGCGGUUUGCUAAGACCGAUGUGAAAUCCCCGGGCUUAACCUGGGAACUGCAUUCGUGACUGCAAGGCUAGAGUAUGGCAGAGGGGGGUAGAAUUCCACGUGUAGCAGUGAAAUGCGUAGAGAUGUGGAGGAAUACCGAUGGCGAAGGCAGCCCCCUGGGCCAAUACUGACGCUCAUGCACGAAAGCGUGGGGAGCAAACAGGAUUAGAUACCCUGGUAGUCCACGCCCUAAACGAUGUCAACUAGUUGUUGGGGAUUCAUUUCCUUAGUAACGUAGCUAACGCGUGAAGUUGACCGCCUGGGGAGUACGGUCGCAAGAUU